GAUGAAGAACGCAGCGAAAUGCGAUAAGUAAUGUGAUUUGCAGAAUUCAGUGAAUCAUCGAAUCUUUGAACGCACAUUGCGCCCCCUGGUAUUCCGGGGGGCAUGCCUGUCCGAGCGUCAUUACAACCCUCAAGCUCAGCUUGGUGUUGGGCCCCGCCGCCCCGGCGGGCCCUAAAGUCAGUGGCGGUGCCGUCCGGCUCCGAGCGUAGUAAUUCUUCUCGCUCUGGAGGUCCGGUCGUGUGCUCGCCAGCAACCCCCAAUUUUUUUCAGGUUGACCUCGGAUCAGGUAGGGAUACCCGCUGAACUUAAGCAUAUCAAUAAGCGGAGGA
rnacentral:misc_RNA from 1 species